CCCUACGGGGCGCAGCAGGCGCGAAAACUUUACAAUGCGGGAAACCGUGAUAAGGGAACACCGAGUGCCAGCAUCAUAUGCUGGCUGUCCAGAUGUGUAAACUACAUCUGUUAGCAAGGGCCGGGCAAGACCGGUGCCAGCCGCCGCGGUAACACCGGCGGCCCGAGUGGUGACCGUUAUUAUUGGGUCUAAAGGGUCCGUAGCCGGUUUGGUCAGUCCUCCGGGAAAUCAGAUAGCUUAACUGUUAGGCUUUCGGGGGAUACUGCCAGGCUUGGAACCGGGAGAGGUAAGAGGUACUACAGGGGUAGGAGUGAAAUCUUGUAAUCCCUGUGAGACCACCUGUGGCGAAGGCGUCUUACCAGAACGGGUUCGACGGUGAGGGACGAAAGCUGGGGGCACGAACCGGAUUAGAUACCCGGGUAGUCCCAGCCGUAAACUAUGCUCGCUAGGUGUCAGGCAUGGCGCGACCGUGUCUGGUGCCGCAGGGAAGCCGUGAAGCGAGCCACCUGGGAAGUACGGCCGCAAGGCUGAAACUUAAAGGAAUUGGCGGGGGAGCACAACAACGGGUGGAGCCUGCGGUUUAAUUGGACUCAACGCCGGACAACUCACCGGGAACGACA
rnacentral:rRNA from 1 species